AUCGAAACGUGGUACUGGACUACUGACAAUAAAAUAUGAUGACGAUAUCCACGACUGGUUGGCACUUUGUCAAACUAGUUGUCACAAUGGUUUUCUGGGUUUUUUUCUGAAACUUAUGAUGAUAAUAUUAGUUGGCCUUGUCGAAAAUGUUUCUGUAUAAAACUCGCCACCAAUGCUAAACUAAAAUCUAACAAAGACCUUUGUUGAGUCAUUGAAAGAUGGCGACUACCAGUUCAAAGAGAAUUUAACAAAAGAAGAUUUGGUGAAGUUCAUCAAGAAACAAUCAUCUCAACUUAAACAGUUGAAAUCAAAAUGUGAAGAUUUUCAAACUGUUAUUCAAGAAAAAGACACCAGUAUUAGUAUACUUGAAGAGGAAAACAACAUGGCUUUCACAUAGGGUUCAAGCAGAGUUUGAAAAGAAAAAAGAGAUAACCGCAAAAAAUGAAGAAUUACAAAUGGCAGCUGAACUUAGUAAAAAGAUGUUACAGAGAAAUGAUGAAUUGCAAGAAGAGUUGGAUAGAUUAAAAUGCACGAUUCUUGUCUUGUCAACAUGAACGUGAUUUCAUAAGUGCAGAAGAAAGUGCUCAACUGUUGAAUAAAAUAAAGGAGUUACAAAGUGAACGUGAGGAAACGUUGGAAAAGUU